rnacentral:rRNA from 1 species
GGGCCCGCACAAGCAGCGGAGCGUGUUGCUUAAUUCGAUGCAACGCGAAGAACCUUACCUACUCUUGACAUCCCUGAAACCUGCUAGAGAUAGCAGGGUGCCUUCGGGAAUCAGGUGACAGGUGUUGCAUGGCUGUCGUCAGCUCGUGUCGUGAGAUGUUGGGUUAAGUCCCGUAACGAGCGCAACCCUUAUCCUUAGUUACCAGCACGUAAUGGUGGGGACUCUAGGGAGACUGCCGGUGAUAAACCGGAGGAAGGCGAGGACGACGUCAAGUCAUCAUGGCCCUUACGAGUAGGGCUACACACGUGCUACAAUGGGCAGUACAACGGGUCGCGAAACCGUGAGGUGGAGCUAAUCCUUUAAAGCUGUUCUCAGUCCGGAUUGAAGUCUGCAACUCGACUUCAUGAAGUUGGAAUCGCUAGUAA